CCACCAUCAGGAACGCACGUCCUACACCCCACCGUCCCCUCUCCAAAACCUAGCCGCCUCCCGCUGCUCCUUCAAUACAUAUUUCGGAUGUUUGGGAUGCCUCCAUCGCUGGUGACCAUUGGCGGCCGGAUUGCAGCAUGGUCCUUGUACGAUCCAGAUCUGCGGCAGCGGCGUGAUAAUCCUCCUCGGGGCAGGGACACAUGCGGCCGGGGGAAGCUGCUCGCGAGUCAGGAUGGAUGUGGAUGUAUAUAAAUCCGCGAAGGUGACAUCAUGCGAUGGUGACCCAUGGAGAUUAAGUGGUUCCACAGGUGAGCUAUUCAAUCAUGUCUCUUGCGUGAAAGAUAAUCAGGUUGUAAUCUCAUUGUUGCCGCGGUGCUAUCAUGUCUGCUAUGUCUGAUGCAAUCAAGGACGGCGCGCCCGGACAUGCAUAAAGCACAACUAGUGCAGGCCACUCGUUCUUAUUUCCUUGCGACGUGAGAUCUGUCAAGAAGCAGUGCGUUCUGGAAGGUAAGGUUAAACAAAAUAAAUCCUUUGAUGGUGGUUAUGCAGGACAGCGGGAUCUGUAGAUAUACAGUAUGAUGCACUGUAACAGGCCCCUCACUAAUUACAGUGGUUUAGAAUCUUUCCAGGUAUUAUAAAAAGGAUCUGAAAAAUACAUAAGUUUGGAUGCUUAUUGUAAUAUUCCUUGUUUUUACAGGAAUUAGGCGAAGGGAUUAAGUCAGGGACGUGUGACCCUGAAACGAUGUAACUUUACCCCGAAUGCUGCACAUGAAAAGAUGGAUUCGUUCAGAUCUCAUCGUGGUUUUGUCUUCUACAUUUCCUUGUGUAUUUCCAUCCGUGUGGUGGACACUAUGACUUGUCGCAUACAAGGUCUACAUCAGCAAGACUUCUAUAUUGGGAUAUCAACUCCAAAUAUGCUGGGAUUUUUUUUUAGAAUGAAUAUAUAGGACUUUAGUAUAUCAUAUUUUGAUGCAAGAUUGUACAUUUAAUUUUUCAAACAAUUUUUAUGUAUGAGAUGAUGGUUCCCAU